rnacentral:rRNA from 1 species
AGACCCGAAACCCGGUGAUCUAGCCAUGGGCAGGUUGAAGGUUGGGUAACACUAACUGGAGGACCGAACCGACUAAUGUUGAAAAAUUAGCGGAUGACCUGUGGCUGGGGGUGAAAGGCCAAUCAAACCGGGAGAUAGCUGGUUCUCCCCGAAAGCUAUUUAGGUAGCGCCUCGUGAAUUCAUCUCCGGGGGUAGAGCACUGUUUCGGCUAGGGGGCCAUCCCGGCUUACCAACCCGAUGCAAACUGCGAAUACCGGAGAAUGUUAUCACGGGAGACACACGGCGGGUGCUAACGUCCGUCGUGAAGAGGGAAACAACCCAGACCGCCAGCUAAGGUCCCAAAGUCAUGGUUAAGUGGGAAACGAUGUGGGAAGGCCCAGACAGCCAGGAUGUUGGCUUAGAAGCAGCCAUCAUUUAAAGAAAGCGUAAUAGCUCACUGGUCGAGUCGGCCUGCGCGGAAGAUGUAACGGGGCUAAACCAUGCACCGAAGCUGCGGCAGCGAACGUAUCACCCAAGACAACUUUACGGAGUUGACGAUUGACGGAGCGAAGCGACGUCAAAGCGUUCAUUAAAGUCGAGUUGGCUUAGGGGUACGUUCGUUGGGUAGGGGAGCGUUCUGUAAGCCUGUGAAGGUGUGUCGUGAGGCAUGCUGGAGGUAUCAGAAGUGCGAAUGCUGACAUAAGUAACGAUAAAGCG